rnacentral:rRNA from 1 species
GACGUCAAAUCAUCAUGCCCCUUAUGACCUGGGCUACACACGUGCUACAAUGGGCGGUACAAAGGGUACGCGAACCCGCGAGGGGGAGCCAAUCCCAAAAAGCCGCUCUCAGUUCGGAUUGCAGGCUGCAACUCGCCUGCAUGAAGCCGGAAUCGCUAGUAAUCGCGGAUCAGCAUGCCGCGGUGAAUACGUUCCCGGGCCUU